rnacentral:tRNA from 1 species
GCCGUCAUAGCUCAAUUGGAUAGAGCACUGGUCUUCGGAACCAGGGGUUGGGGGUUCGAAUCCCUCUGGCGGCA